AGUAAGGGGACCCCUGGAUCUCAUUAAAGACUCAUGGAAAGGGUGCAAUGGGGUAAGGGAAGAACCAGUAACUGAGUAUGUUCAGAAGGGAGCUAAAGGACAUGAUGAAAGUUGUCCAAAACAACCUCCAAGACAUUCAGGCCAAACAAAAGGCGUGGUAUGAUACUUGUAAACACACUUUUGACAUAGGAGAUUUGGUGAUGGUACUCAGCCCUGCAAAAAAGUUCAAAAUGCAAAACUCCUGGGAGGGGCCCUUCAAGGAAGUAAAACUGGCAAAUGAGGACACGUAUCAAGUCAAAAAGCCCUGUCAUGAUACUGUUCCCCAGCUGGUACACAUGAACUGGCUCAAAGCCUAUCACAGUAGGGAGGCCGGAGCAAACAUGAUCUGUUGUGUGGAAGGGGAAACUGAGGCACCUCCACCCCCCACUGAUUUGAUGGCUGAAUGGCAAGAUGGCUCAACACUGGAAAUCAUUGAAAUCUGUAAAGAAUUAACACCAGUCGAAAGGGGGGAGCUGUUGUCAGCGCUGCAAGACACAGGGAGGUGUUUUCCAACAAUCCAGGGAGAACGCAUUUGCUGUCCCAUAAAAUCUUCACAAAAGGGAUACAAUCCCCCUCCCCCUUCCAGGCCUGACAGGGCCACUGGCAAGGUGAAAGAACAAAUUUGUACGAAGAUACAGAACAUGUUGGAACCAGGGAGUAAUUAAGGAAUCUGACAGCUCAUGAAUAUUCCCUGUGGUCUUGGUCCCCAAAAGGGAUGGCGCUGUAAGAUUUCGUGUGGACUAUAGAAAACUUAAUGCUGUUACUCAUUAAAGACUUAGAUGCAUAUCCCAAUCCAAGAAUUGAUGAUAUGCUGGAUGUGCUGAGCCAAGCCAAAUACCUCAGUACUUUGGAUUUAACUAGAGGGUACUGGCAGAUCCAUCUGGAGAAGGAGGCACAGCAGAAGUGAUUGUAUGUGUGUAUGCUAAAGAGGCUAGAGGGCCUGGCUCAGCAGGACAGACUGAGGGACCCCACGCUGGUGGAACAGGCAGGCUCAGUGGUACCCCAGUAUAUCAGGUGGCACCGCAGAAUAGGGGGCAACCCGUCACAUUCUUCAUUACUGGCAAUUUGUAAAUCAAGGCUGGAUGCUUUUCUAAAAGAUCUUCUCUAAUUCAAACAGGAAUCAAUUCAGGGAAAUCUUAUGGCCAAUGUUCUACAGGGGGUCAGACUAGAUGGUCAUAAAUGGUCCCCUCUGGCCUUGGAAUCUAUGAACCUAUAUUAUUCCCAAGCCGUUCCGGGUGGAGUUAGUUCAUUUGGCUGUCCUGCACAUCUCAUCACAAGGCUUCAUCCUGCUGACUGAGUUAGAGGAUGUAUGUCUGCUGCAGCUAAGGAGGGAGAAGAGUGCUUAUCACAUCAGUCCUCGGGGAGGUGCAGCCAGUAGCUCGUUCUGCUUUUACUUUAAAGCUUGUGUAGCUGCAUAUGCUAAUUGCUAUAGAAAACUAAUGGUUCAUAAGAUUUAUUUAGAAAGUCUCCUUUUUGAUGUUAGUUUCUCCUUUUCAGUAUGAAAUCGGGUCCCAAACAUGCUCCAUGAAAUGAUGGCUAUCUGAUUAAAAUAUGACCAUGUAGAUCAUUGUUGCAACCACUGUUUUAUAUAUUUGCAGCAAAUAUUGUACAAAGGUUGUCAAAUGAGGUGUCUACAAAAAGAUUAUGAUUUGCUGGUUAUGAUUAUGCUAUCUGUAUGCAUGUAUCAUUUUUGUAUGUGAAGUUAUAAGUAUUGGCUCUAUACUUGGAUUUCAGAUGUUAGCCCCUGGUGGAACGCCCACAAAGUAAUUAGCCAGCACAUCUUGGAGGGCCAAUUCUAAUUGAGUGGCCCAUUGAAAGAGCAGUUUAGCUGAUAAUGGACCAUGGGAGACGCCCAUCUACACUGAAUGGAAUGUCCUGCUGUGACUAGGCGAAAUGCAUGCUUGCCCGUGUGACUCUAAACUCCAUCUUGUUGCUGUAAUUUUCCACAAUAAGAACAGUGGGAUACCCUCCACAUGGAAAAAAGACGAUAAAAGGCAGCUGCAUCUUCUCCAUUUGGUCUUCAGUUUUGCUUCUUACCUCUGGAGGAACUUUGCUGCAAACUGAAGCUCUGAACAAUGGACUGAAUGACCCAUCCAAGCUGCGGAUGUACUCCAGAGACUUGACUUAAGCCAGCAGGUUAUUCCAUCACCGCUACAAGCGUGAACCAAAAACUUUGCCAUUGCUGUGCUCACAGCAAUAACCUUGAAGAAGGUCCCACUGUGACAUGCUGUUUUAUUGAAGAACAAUGUGAUUCAUCUCUCCUAGGCAAGGGGAACCAAAGCAGUGAACCAAAGCUACUGGAUCCCGGUUACUGGGAACACAGACAUGACAUUUCCCUCAAGGUUCUACAACUGAAUGUCAAGGCCCUGUUGGGCACAAAGCUCUCUGGUCCUGAAAACAUCACCUGACAUCACAAUUCUGAUGUCAUCUGCCUUCAGGUAAUCCAUGUUAAUUCCCUUAUUGCCAGGCGGUUCAUAAUCUCUGGUUUUGCAUGAAAAAUAUGGCUGAGACACUUAUGUAACUUAGCCGAUGUGGAGAGUCUACCAUCUACAUGUGACUACUGUGACAUCAUAAGGAUCAGUCAAUUUAAAGUGGUAAAUUUCUACAAGCCCUUGAAUCAACUACAAUCACUCCCGCAUCCUGCCAUCUAUGAUGGAAAAUUCAAUAGCCACCAUACCACCUGGGGCUAUAAAGAAUCAGAUCAAAGUGGGAUAGACCUUGCAAACUGGGCCUCUCUCAAGGAAUUACAUUGACCUGAAGCAACCAGCAACUCUUCACACUGCCCAUUAGAAACAGGGCUACCUUCCCUGACCUCAGUUGCGUCACUUCUGCUGGAGGCCACCCUCUACCAGCCAUCUGUAGAGUCCCUGGAAAUUUCCCCCAAAGUCAGCAACACCUCAUCCUCCUCCAAAUAGGGGUUACCAUGCCUAUCGUGACCUCUAGGCCAAGGCUACAUUGGAUCUACAGAAAAGCAGACUGGGACAAUUACACUAAGCCCAUUGACCAAUAUACUGUGUGUGUCCCAAGUAACAUCUCAAUAGA